AUUGAACGCUGGCGGCAUGCCUUACACAUGCAAGUCGAACGGCAGCACGGGAGCAAUCCUGGUGGCGAGUGGCGAACGGGUGAGUAAAGCAUCGGAACGUGCCCAGUCGUGGGGGAUAACGUAGCGAAAGCUACGCUAAUACCGCAUACGAUCUGUGGAUGAAAGCGGGGGACCGUAAGGCCUCGCGCGAUUGGAGCGGCCGAUGUCAGAUUAGGUAGUUGGUGAGGUAAAGGCUCACCAAGCCGACGAUCUGUAGCUGGUCUGAGAGGACGACCAGCCACACUGGGACUGAGACACGGCCCAGACUCCUACGGGAGGCAGCAGUGGGGAAUUUUGGACAAUGGGCGCAAGCCUGAUCCAGCAAUGCCGCGUGCAGGAUGAAGGCCUUCGGGUUGUAAACUGCUUUUGUACGGAGCGAAAAGGCUUCCACUAAUACUGGGGGCUCAUGACGGUACCGUAAGAAUAAGCACCGGCUAACUACGUGCCAGCCGCCGCAGUAA
rnacentral:rRNA from 1 species